rnacentral:lncRNA from 1 species
AGCACAUAAGAGGACCUCUGCUCCAGGUGUCUUUAAGACGCUGCCAUUUGUGUGCAGCUGGCCCUUUAAAAAGAGCUCGAGGCCAGAGAAACCUCAUCCAGCAGAAUUAUUCAGUUUGUUUUAGCAACUGCUUCCCGAGCCCCGUCUCCCAUUACUUCAUCUGCAUUCCCCAGAUGCUGACCCUGUCCCCUCUAAGCCCACAGCAUUCCCCCCACCCCCGCCCCGCGGAGGCUUUCAUAAUCUCCUAGGGGACACUCCCAGUACGGAGCCCUGGCAGCCCCACAGGAUGCCACCUCUCAGGUCACGGGUGGAACCUGACGCCCUUCCCCAGCUUCUCUCGCUGCAACCCUACCUGCCCCAGAUUUCAGGCCUGCGUCAGAGGCUGCUACCGGAGGAGGUAGGGAGGUGACCCUGUUUGGUCCUGCCCAGGCUGAACUCCUCCCGGCGAUUUCAGACAGCUGUCCAGGUGUUGCUUAGUAAGGUUGCAUUUAGAGGACUGUCCAGCAAGGACUGCCAGGGUCUCCGAGCAGUGGCUCCGAGCCCUGUCUCGUCAGUCUUUGCUGGACGGAUGAGUCAGCAACGUGUCCCUCUUCGCACUCUCCCCCACCAGUGAGUAGCGCACUUCGGGGACGUCUUCCCGGAUUAGUUAGAGCACUUUUGGAGGCAAGAGACAGAGGGCGGGUUCAAACCAGCUUAAAAUAGUUUAUUGGCUAAGAAGUGAAAUGGAAUCCAAAGGAGUAGCCGGACUUGGGCAGAGCUACGUCCAGAAGUGGUUCAAACGCUAUUGUUGGGGACCUCUCUCUCUCUCCACCUUACAAAGAGUGAAUCCACCGGGGCGCCUGGGUGGCUCAGUCGGAAAAGAAUGCACCAUGAGAUGGACCAGAGCUAUCAGUCCCAUAAAGGCAGGAAUCAACACUAACUCAGACCUGUAACCAACAGCCUGUGAUCAAGCUGGGUAUGACCUAUUCCUGACAGUAAAUUGCUUUAGGUUCCUUUAAGAAAGUACUGAGAAAUCACUACUUUAUAUAUUUGCCUCUGUGUUGCAGAAUCCAUUCUUAAGAGACUUGAUCUUCAAUCACUGGGCGUCUCAGAACUGGCUCCAGCUUGGAACUUGGGCAACUGAUCAUGAGUUUCAACUGGGACCUCAGGUUUCUGUUCUCUUCUUCGUCCUCAUUCUCUUAUGAUAUCAUUAUUUAUCAACUACUGGAUAACUUAUGAUGGGUGCUAGAUGUUGGAGAUGUAGGGGUAAAAAAGAUACAGCCCACAGCCUUCUG